rnacentral:lncRNA from 1 species
AGAAAAUAGCAGUGUACAAGAUGUGCCCUUGAAGCUGUCGGUUGUGUCCGACCCAGACAUCUCGAAUGCAGCGAUUGUAGAAGUUGGCGUUGAAGAGUCAGAAUUUGCUUGGCAGGCAGAGAAUGAAGAGCAAAGCUCAUAUAGAACUCUAGAGGAGAAAUAUCCGUUCGGAAAUGAGAUCGUCUUUGACAGCCUCGAGGAGUCAUUCGUUGCAUCCGGCCAUAAUUCAAAAUGGACAAUUGUUGAUGAUAGAGAGGAGCAGUCCACAUUAUCCAGGACAGCUGACAAGGAGGAGGAUAUCUCAAAGAGUGGCCUUGAGAAAAAGGCAGUGCUCGAGAAUGAAGAGACAGUAGUGCAUAUUUCCAAAAACUCAGUUGAAGUUCCUUACCAGGCUGAUACCCAUAAUACUAUAAGUUUUAGGGCUGACGACGUACUGAAUCACUCAAAUACUCCAUGCGAAGUUAAGGCUGAAGACGAC